GGUGUCGUGGUGUAGUUGGUUAGCACAUCAGUUUAACAUGCUGAAGAUCCCCGGUUCAAAUCCGGUCGACAUCA
rfam:Triticum urartu cultivar G1812 contig2227, whole genome shotgun sequence.